rnacentral:piRNA from 1 species
UACUUCCUCCCUUAGAGCAAGCCCUGACUCC